rnacentral:rRNA from 1 species
UGUAAACGAUGUCGAUUUGGAGUUUGGGGGCAUGACCCUUGGGCUCCGGAGCUAACGCGUUAAAUCGACCGCUGGGGAGUACGGCCGCAAGGUUAAAACUCAAAUGAAUUGACGGGGGCCCGCACAAGCGGUGGAGCAUGUGGUUUAAUUCGAUGCAACGCGAAGAACCUUACCUGGUCUUGACAUCCAUAGAAUCUUUCAGAGAUGAGAGAGUGCCUUCGGGAGCUAUGAGACAGGUGCUGCAUGGCUGUCGUCAGCUCGUGUUGUGAAAUGUUGGGUUAAGUCCCGCAACGAGCGCAACCCCUAUCCUUUGUUGCCAGCACGUAAUGGUGGGAACUCAAAGGAGACUGCCGUUGAUAAAGCGGAGGAAGGUGGGGACGACGUCAAGUCAUCAUGGCCCUUACGACCAGGGCUACACACGUGCUACAAUGGCGUAUACAAAGGGAUGCGAAGGUGCGAACUGGAGCGGACCUCACAAAGUACGUCUAAGUCCGGAUUGGAGUCUGCAACUCGACUCCAUGAAGUCGGAAUCGCUAGUAAUCGUGAAUCAGAAUGUCACGGUGAAUACGUUCCCGGGCCUUGUACACACCGCCCGUCACACCAUGGGAGUGGGUUGCACCAGAAGUAGAUAGCUUAACCUUCGGGAGGGCGUUUACCACGGUGUGGUUCAUGACUGGGGUGAAGUCGUAACAAGGUAACCA